rnacentral:rRNA from 1 species
GAUGAACGCUGGCGGCGUGCCUAAUACAUGCAAGUCGAGCGAUGCGGGGACGGGUGAGUAACACGUGGAUAACCUCCUUUAAGACUGGGAUAACUUCGGGUAACCGUAGCUAAACCGGCUACUUAUAGAUGGAUCCGCGCUGCAUUAGCUAGUUGGUAAGGUAACGGCUUACCAAGGCAACGAGGCAUAGCCGACCUGAGAGGGUGAUCGGCCACACUGGAACUGAGACACGGUCCAGACUCCUACGGGAGGCAGCAGUAGGGAAUCUUCCGCAAUGGGCGAAAGCCUGGCGGGGCAACGCCGCGUGAGUGAAGAAGGUCUUCGGAUCGUAAAACUCUGUUGUUAGGGAAGCGGUACCUAAUCAGAAAGCCACGGCUAACUACGUGCCAGCAGCCGCGGUAAUAC